rnacentral:lncRNA from 1 species
GAGUUGCGAGUAUGAGCCAUUUCUGCGAGUUUUGGAGAAAAGAAUACAUUAGAUAAUUUCAUAGGGGUAGGCUCUAUUUUACGAUCUAAAGUAUGAAAAAAAUGAGACUUUUCCUAAAUGCUUGUAGCCUCCUGUUUAUAAGUAUGACGCGCUUCAUACACAUAAACAAGACUCUACUAACACGGUUUCAUAGACCCCUAGGACUCCAUAAACCUGAGGCUCUGAUACAAAGUUUGUCACGACCCAAGACGGGACCGACACUUGAUAACUAAACAUGACCGAGCGAACUAUCUAUGCUUAUCAAAUCUAUUAUAACUCCAACUUUCUAUGCAACAAGGCAAUACUCUAACCAAAUACUUUUGAUUAAUUUAAAUAUUUAAAUAAAUCAACUCCAAAACUUUAUUCGUAAUAACUACUAAAUUACUGCUCAGUUAUUAUCAAAAACAUCUGAAUCUUAACCCAACGACUAUGUCUAUGAAACCUCUACUGAUAAACUGACACACUGCUCAAGACAUGAGAUUUCCUGGUCAGUUAUCUAAGUAAACAAAAAAUAACUAAAUAAAGAUGACUCAAUGGAAUACUCCACGAACAGAAGCGGAGCUCACCAAUAGCACUAAAAGAGAAGGAAGUCCUAACCCAUAGCUUGCUCGCCUGCAAAAUCAGUUCCUACGUUGUACUGCAGACCAACGUAGUUUCCCAAAAAAGAACGUCAGUACCAUCUAUUGUACUCGGUGAGUCUCAACAAUUGGGGAAAAACUUUAAUAACAUAUACAUUUACGAGCAAAGGUUCAAAGUGUAUGUAAAAUAUAAAGCUUAUAAGAAUAGCUCUAAAAUAAUUACAUAAUAGCAGUUUAUGAAUAUUCUAAAAGAAAUUCUUUUCUCUUUCUAAACAAAUUACUUCUCUUUAUACCUUGGGAGUUCCAACUAUCCUGACUUAAUUCUGUCUCAUUCACCGUGUGAUCGGCACGGGUUCUAUCCCAACCUGAUCGAAUAGGCUCAAUCCACGAGGUGUCACUCGCUUCAUGGUUCUCAGCGCUCAUGUAUCAUAGCUUAGCAUAGCUAAGUAAAUUCUCAACAAUGAGACCCUCGGCUCAUGUGCUCCCAACUUUGGCACAAGUAGUUUCAGGAAGUCAACGCCUUGGUCAGAACCCUCGGUCGGGACGAUGACCCUUUUUUAGAAUAAAGGAUACUCCCAAAAAUCUUUUCUUUCUAAAACAUCUUCUUGUGACUUUUCAAGUCUAGAUCUUUUCUUUAUAGAAUAUCAUGUACAUGCUCAUGCUGGUAUCCUUAAAUGUAAAGUCUGUCAGAAGAAUGAAAUAAACAUGUAAAAGUAUUCCUAAAGAUUCUUAAUUAUUCAUAAAUUUUCAACAUGAAAAUAGCAUAUAAGAAUAACACAAAAAUCUGAAAAUAUGCACGUAUAUCAUAAUAAAUCGUCUAAACUUUUGCUAGAACAAUUCUAAGUUAAUAGAUACUCACUCGCUCCAAUUAAGUAAAUAUAAACUCUUUUAAGCAAUUCAUCAAACACCUUGUAUGCGUGCUUUUGUGAGUUAAACCACUUUAGUAAAGGGUUGUAUCAACACACCUCAAUAUUCCUUUAGUCCAAUUUAUAUUCAUCAAAUAAUUGAUUCUACAACAACCAGUGAGUUUUAUUUGAUUCCAAAGUUUCACACCCAAACAUGAAAUUUGAUGGUGAUACAGAGAAGGAAAAAAAUUAACUAUUCAACUUUUACCUAUUACUACUAUGAGGUAAUUGACAAUAGAGAAUUUCACAUACCUGAGUUUAAGAAUUAGUGAUUUGCAAAGAACCCUAGAAUUUUCUUUGCCUGUGUAAGUAUUUCGCUAACGCCUCUUUAGUUUUUUGUUGGGCAACAUAAUGUCGAGCUUUGUUUUAAAUUUUCCUAAGGCUUACGCCUUUUGCAUGCUUAUUGCCAAGAGUUCUUUAUGGGCUUUGUUGCACGUGACUUUUUUUUUUUUUUAACUUAACUAGUAUUUAAUUAUUCCUACUUUCAAUAAUUGGUAAUAUUAAAAUUAUUAAUAUUCCCUAAUUGUACAUCCAUUUAUUUAUAAAUAGAGAAGUAACUCAAAAUCAAUCACAAGUGUUUUAAUCUGUAAUAAAAGUAUAAUUUAAGAUUAUAAAAAUUAAAUUUUAUAUUUAGCGAGUCUUGAAAUUUUUAUAGGUUUGAGGAGUGUUACAAGAACAAAGUAAAAUAAUUUUUGUGUAACAAAAGAAAGAAAAGUGACUUUUGGAUAAUGAGCAUGUUAGAAAAUAAUAAUCAAAAUUGGCUUUGAGGCGUGAAAAUCGACUGUCCUUAAAGAGUUAUCGCCUGUAUACUAAUUUAGGAAAAAUACAAAACGAUUCUCUUCAGGAUACAACAAAGCCUGCAGUAACACUUGUGAUUUUCUAUAUCCACUUCGUUGGAAUUCUUGUGUAUUUAUAGGCAACCAAUAGACCAUUUCAGAAAAGAUGUCUUGUUUCACAAACAGACACGUCUAUUUAUUCGAAUUUUGAAUUUAAAAUUCAAAUAAAUAAAUAAUUAACUCUAGGAUCUCGUGCCUGUUGAGUCAAUCUCGUGCCUGUUGAGACAAUCUCAUGCCUGUUGAGUCAGUCGCGUGCCUGUUGAGACAAUCUCGUGCCUGUUGAGACAAUCUCGUGUCUGUUGAGACAAUCUCGUGCCUGUUGAGGCAAUCUCGUGCCUGUUAUGUGCUAUUUCAUAAUGAUCAGUUCCGAGGCUAACAGGCACGGUACGAGUAAGGUCGGUCCCGGGAGUGUUUCACAUGACAGGCACGGAACUUCUUUCUUCCGAUGUGGGAAGAAUCCAACUUCCAACUUGCCAAUAACAAACUAUCUUACAGAGCAUAAGGUAGAAUGACUUUUACGUAACGAAAAAAAAAGUAACUUUUGGGUAAUGAAUACAAAAUUAAACGGCUACUCAUAAAAUUUACUCGUUAUAAUUGCGGACCUAGAAAUAACAAGUCCUUUUAAUUGGUUUUUGACUUUGACAUAGGAGGAAACUUCUGCACAAAAAUCUGCAAAAUAUUUAUGUACACAAACACACGCACAUAGGCACACUCAGAUUUUAAUAAAUUUACUCAAACUCAAACUAGUCCCCGUAUUCCUAUAGGAGUGAACCUUGACAACAUCUGACCUAGCAAAUUUUGUACUGAUGCCAAAAUCCUAAUAAAUAUAGAGAAGUUUACGGAAGUCGUUCUUCAGAUGAUAAUACUCAAACGUAAGAACGUUAAGCUAAAUGUCAGCAUGUGAAAGAUCUUGGUUAAAUCACGAGGAGAGAGCUUAUAUUCGUAUAGCUUGGCGUGAAUAAAAGAUCUAUGUAUUUCAUGACCAAGUCUAAAAUCGAAGGCAAACUCGAAACACAAAAAACAAAAACAAAAUUGAAAAUCAGCAUAGCAUAAAUGCUCAAAAAGGACAUAAUCUAUUCCUUUCAUUUAGGGAAAGUCGUCAAUGCUCAAACCAGAUUUUUUUUCUUUCUCAAACUGAGAAACAGACCAUUAAUGUGAUAAACGGACAUAACAGUCGCAACAUAUUACCUCUUUUAUAUCUAAUAAAUUUCAUAUAUGCUUCACAUAGAUUUAACGAAGGGAAAGAAUUAACAAACAAGCAAAAAGAAGUAACAACAAAUAAGAGCUACUGGAGGAAAAAAACGAAUAACUUACAUUUAUCAGAGAACCACUCGUUAUAAUCAUUACAGGUAUUCCUCGUCGACUUUUAUAGUGGGAAUUUGAGCAAUUUUGGCCAAAAAUCCCCCUUCUCAAAUUCUAGACUUGGUUUGAGCAAUGGGCAGCUAGAAAUAUAUAGGGCAACGAAAGAUAUCCAGCUUAGAUAGGGAUUGGAGAUUACCGCAAUAACAGAUGUGCAGCAGAGAGAGGAAGGACGGCUCAAAAAGAAGUAACAACAAAUAAAGAGCUACUGGAGGAACUCUUGUAGAAAAGUUUGCUCAAAUUUUCCUUGCCUAGUGAGCCUGGGUACGAGGUGGAGCUCUCCUUGAGCCAGGCGUCACCAGGCCUUGGGCGAGGGCUCU